GGUCAGAGUGUAGCCAUGGUGCACAAUGGGCUCCCCGUCGGGCCCGUCCCAGCAGUCCACUGAGGGAAGGCAGACGUCAGUCAGCUCCAGGAGCUUGGCCGCCGAUGCCCAGAGACCCGCGGCUCGCGGACUGACUGGGGUCAGUCCUCUCGCUCAGCAAUUAACACCAGGAGAGGCCUAUCACAGCCCCUGCCCGGGAAGGAGGGCAGACACUCUGCUCAGAGACCCCCGGAGCCCAAGGCCCCCGGGCCCGAGGGGGGCUCGGACUCCCACGGCCCCCGCCGCUCACCCUCCACACAACGGCAGCCGGCCUGCAGGACCCAGGCGUACAUGUCCACCCGGGACUGGGACAUGAGCUGGUCACCCACGAGGGCAGCUCGCACGACUCCUGCAGGACCCGCCGGGGGCAAACCCACCGAGACCCCAGUGAGACCAUGAACUUCUUCAUGAACCCACUUACUCAGGGAGCAUCUACUGAAGUGUCAGACCCUGGGAACACCAAACGCCAAGGCCAGGGACAGACACAGAGGACAAGGGCACCCAGCGACUGGAGGCCAGGCUGCCUAGAGGAGCCUGAGGUGCCCUGGGGCCACAGUGAUCCCUGGGAAUGGACAAGAAAGGUCCCGUAGAAGACCGUGACUGCAGCAGGUGAAGGCACGCUCGGCUGGAGCUGCUCUGCGGCCCGAGGCCCACACUGGGCCUGCACUCCACUGUUAUCUCAGACUUAAUGAAACUAUGUUCAAGGUGCUCUUUACCCACCACACAGAUCUUUCCUUGGAUUAGGCACUUCCAGGUGGUGGAAACAAUACAGAGACUCCUCGA